UCUUGCAAAAGCAGUGUUAAGAACCUAACCCAAAUCUUUUGACCCUAAGCCCUCAUUCUCUCUAUUAUUCUAAAAGACAAUGUUUAAAAACAAAUAGCCCUAACUAGAAGUGAACGUCUACGUUGAAGAAAAGACAUGUCUGAGAAUGGGAACAAUUACAGUAAUCUGACUCCUUUCAGAACACUGUCCAAUGACUGAGGUCAUAAAAAUAUUUGACUACCAGCAUUUAAUCAGUGGCAGUUCAUAAUCAUAAAGAGCUGAUUAUGUUAAUUAUUUUAAAAUAUGUGCAUUAUUAAUGCACUAGAAUAAGGGAAAGCUAUGCAUCUAUUUAAGAAAAUAUCAAAAGAUUAUCUUCACUUUUUUCUUUUUUAAAUGGAUUUGAGAACACACUGAAGUUAUCCUGAGGGGAAAACUUUACCCAGACACUGUGCAUAACUCUAUCCAGGGCUUUUGAGAAUUGAACAAGAAAUGGUUGCCUACUUCAAAUUCAAGAAGAUUGUCUCCUAUCUUUUAUUCCCAAGUUUUGAUAUAUUUUUCCCCUUUUGAAAAUAGUAUUUACAAGUUAUUAUUGGAUUACUUGUUGAUGAAAACCAGAAAUGACAUUGAUUUUAGAAUGUUGAUCUUGUAUACUGUGACCUUGCUGAAUUCUCUUAUUGGGGUUAUUAUAGUUUCAGUGUCUAUAAUUACGUUGUUUACAAAUAAUAGAAAUUUUAUUUAUUUUCUGAUGUAAUGCAUUUCAUUUUAUUUUUCUUGCCCUGGCUAAAACCUCUAGAAAAGUUCUGAAUAUAGAUGGCAAGAAUAAACACACUUGCCCUGUUCCCAAACUUUGGAGUGAAGAGAUUCGUGUUUCAUGUAGGUAUCAUGUUAGCUUCAUGUAGUUACCAUGUUAACUGUAUGGUUUUUGUAGAUGCCCUUCCUCUGACUGAGGAAUUGAGCUUCUUUUCCAAAAGGCUAACAGUUCCUCCUUUCACCCUCUGGGGGUGAGUUUUAAAUUUUACCAAGAACUUUUCUGCAUCUACUUAGGGAAUGAUAAGAUCUUGUCUCUUAUUUUGUUAAUAUAUUGUGUGUUACAUUGAUUGAUUUUCUAAUAUUAAACUCCUCUUGCAGUUCUA